rnacentral:rRNA from 1 species
AAGAUGGCGACCGGCGCACGGGUGAGUAACACGUAUCCAACCUGCCGAUGACUCCGGAAUAGCCUUUCGAAAGAAAGAUUAAUACCGGAUGGCAUACGAAUAUCGCAUGAUAUUUUUAUUAAAGAAUUUCGGUUAUCGAUGGGGAUGCGUUCCAUUAGUUUGUUGGCGGGGUAACGGCCCACCAAGACUACGAUGGAUAGGGGUUCUGAGAGGAAGGUCCCCCACAUUGGAACUGAGACACGGUCCAA